UGAAUUUCCAGAAUCUUCCUUGAGAGGAGGUCUCCCGAGCAGGGCUGGAAGGCGUUUUGCAGACAUUUAGCACCUGAGCCAGGACAGAGACUCAGGUGACCUCAGCACGGUCACCAGGUGGGACUCCCUUAGGAACAGUGGCAGGUGAGCCCACAGGAAAUUCUGCCCCAGGAUCGUGUUCCUUGGAGUGGCUUCAGGGAAAACGACAGGACACCCUGGUCCCACGGAAGGAAGAACCAAGGGAUAAUCACUGUGCAGCACUGGACAGCUGCUGGCCCCUGGAGCCUCAGUGUCCCCGUGCGUCAGACGGGGCUCAGGACGGCCCCUGCCCGGCACCGAGGCAGCUGCCAGGAGAAGCCGGUGGGAGGCGGGUGGAGUGGCCCCCGGGCAGGCUGCCCAGGUCAAAUCCCAGCUCUGCUCCUGCCCAGCUGUGUGGCCCUGGGCGGGCUCUCCCCCACUCUGAGCCUCAGAGCAGCCCUGGGCUCGAGGGUCCAUGGGCGGCCCACAGAGGGCAGCAGGGAGGCUCUGGUGGCAGAGCCUGGCGGGCCGUCGGCGCUCAGUGGAGAAGAGCUCCCACUGUCGGUGCCCGCAACAGGGACUGGCACGCAGUAGGUGCUCAGGAAAUACUUGUGGAAUUAGUUAACUGAACGAAUGGCCACAGGCCGUGAGCUAGGAAGAGCCAUCGCUCCACCUUCCAGAUGGGAAGCCGAGACCCAGAGACACCAAGGAGCUGGUCUCUCCUGAGGGACACGGGAACCUAGAGUCCCCUCGGCCUGGCACGCCUACAUGACAAUCCCGUGCUCCACCUCUGGUUCAGGUUGGGUCAGGAACUCAGGAUCCGGGGACAUCAACAUCGGCUUCACUCACGUCCCCUGAAAUCACCCUCCUUUCAAGGCACAGUCCUCUCGGGAAGAGAGUCCGCUGCUGGUGACCGGGGCCAGGAGGAGGUCAGGAUGGCUGCCCCCACCGUCGGGCCCCAGCUGGGCCUUUCCCCUCUGGCCUGGGAGGGUUUGUGGUUCCCCGGGCCCCCCAAGGGGCUGUGGACGUGGUUCCGCGCUGUCCCCAGCCCCGUCCCCCCUCCUCCUGCCUCAUGGCUCCCGGAAGGCCGUGGAGCCCAGGCCCACGUUAAUGGCUUCUCAGCCUCAAUGGUCAGCUCCCCAACUUGCCAUAAAACGGCCUUGGAUUGAGCCCCAAGGACAGUGCCGGGGAAGGGGAUGUUUAGGGACAUCCUGGGGCCACAUCUGCCUGCCCACCCUCGCGAGACCAGGGGCCUGCCCAUCACUCUGCAUGUCCCCCAGUUCCAGCCUGCUGCUGACCUCCGACUGCAGAUGGGUCCCACCUCAGGGCCUUUGCCCUGCGGGCUCCUGUGCCCGGCAGUCCCACAGAUGGCUCUCGCUCCUGAGCACCCUGCUGACAGCCCGGGUCACCUCCUGACUCAGCCUGUGUGGUCUCGGGGCGCCCUCUCCACCUGUAUGUCCCUCUUCAUGGCCUGGUUGGUUGGCUCUGGGUGUCCCUCCCGGGAGGGCAGGUCUCACCGUCCUGCGCACUGUCUUUCCCCUGCACCUUGAGCCACGCCAGGCAGCAGCUGGGCCCAACACACCACUUGAGAGGUGAGUGGCCCGAUUCGUUCUCUAAGAACUCAUUUGCUAGACUGAGCUCGCCCCAGAUGACAGUUAAGACUGUGUCUGAACAAGGGAGGGACAGCAGUGCCCAGGCCUGCCCAGGCCUGUGCUAACAGAGGGUCAAGCACCACUUCUGGACCCCGUGUCGAUUGUCUGGUUCAACCCUCCAGCCACGGGAGGAGGUGACACGCUAUUAUGUCCAUUUCACACCUGACCCCUGUGUUGGGCUUCAGGUUCCCGUGGAAGGGGCCAGCCAGCGCCACCUUACUGGGGUACAUGAGUCGCCCCAAAUUUCCCUCCAUCACGCCUGCCUGGAGGAGGAGGGGCCGUGAGGAGGUCCCCCCACAGGACCUGGCCUGGCCCAGUCCACUCAGCUCCUCCCUGCCCAUCUGCUUCCCACCUUCAUGAAGACUGAGGCCUCUCUGGGAACUUCCUCCGAAUCCUUUACACACACAGCCGUUCCCUGGGCCUGCGUGUGCUCCGUGCUUUAGACGCGUUCACGCACUCCAUCCCAGGUCCUGGAGUAGGUGCUGCCAUCACCCCGCCUCUUCAGAUGAGGAAACCGAGGCACCGGGCAGCUGAGUAUCUUGUGCAAAGUGGGGGAGCCAGGCCGCCUGGUGUCGAGUCUGAGCUCCUGACCAGUGGCCCCUGGUGGAAACCGCCAGUCACCAAGACAAUGACAGGGCUGGAGAGUGACCAGUGAGGACUCAUUUGGUUCCAAGUGGCAGGAAGUCACUCCAACUGGCUCUGGCUAAAAGGACCAGGCAGAGGAUGUCUCGCUUCAAGCACGGCUACUUCCAGGACCCUGGACAUCCACAUUAGCCCGAGCCUCUUUUAGUUCAAUUGAUGAUCUUUGUGUUGACUCGGGCUCUGCGGGUCUGGACACGGGGCCCUGGGCUCCAGAACCACUAUUGAUUCCAGCUUGACCCCACAGUGAAAAGCUUGGGCUGACCUCUCUCUGAGUCUGAUUGGGUAGCCUUGAGUCAGGUGCCCCCCUGUGAGCCAAUCAUGGUAGGAAAGAGAACAACGCAAUUCUCUGAUUGGCUGGGGUCAUCUCCACCCGAGGACACAGUGGAGGGUCCCCGGGACAACACUCCUGGGGCUUUGACUGGGACUAGGAGAGGGCAGUGGAGGCCAGGAGGGAAGCACCGGGCAUCCGUGGCCAGGCCAACCCCAUCUGCAGAUGAGCCAGGAGCGGCCUCCUUCCCAGGCGGAGCUGUUCCUUUAAUGAGCUACAAAGUAGGGCGUCCCUGGUCCCUCUGCAGAUGAGUGGCUCAGGGGAGGAUCUCAGGCACAUGACAGGGUGAGAGGAGAAUUCUGGAGUACUGGCGUGACGAGGAUGUGACACCAGUAGGCUGAGAAAGGGGUGGACUGGUGUCCCCCUGGCACACAGGGACAGUGCUGGUCAGCGCUGACGGAGCCCUCCAGCAGCGCCGGGCACUGCUCUGAGCCCUGCCGGCCUCUCUCACUUCAGCUUUCCCACGGCUCUCGGAGGCAGGAGCCCGUUUUCCUGAACAAACCAGGUGACACUCAGGUAAGGUAACCGCGUCCUGGGGUCUCUCGCUGGCCAGGAUGGUGGUCCCUCCCCUCAGGCCCUCCUCCUGCUGAACAAGCCCACUCACCCCUGGGCCAGAGGCCACCCUCGGUGGUUCUAAGCCAGUCACUGCAUCCGGCCCCUUUGCCUGGGAGGGGUGGAUGUCCACCCCCUUCUGACCAAUGAGGCGCAGGAGCCCUGUGCUGGGGAUUCUGGGAAAAUCUUUUCUCUGUAGCGGGGGCUCCUGAGGAGCACAUUCCCGCCCCACAUUCCCCUGCUCUGCGUGCUGCCGCCUGGCCACCUCCCCCUGCUGCCAGCACCCCAGGCCCAGGCAGCACCAUGGUUUGACCGGAAUGUUCCAGUCUCCUGCAGCUCCCCAGCUGUCACCCCCACCCCCACGGGCAGCCAAGGACAGGGCUGGAAGGUGACAGUGCAGAGAGACGCCCUGAGAAUGGAGGUCAGCAGGUCCUGCCCCUGCUCAGAACCCCCGGAGCUUCUGUCUCACUCCACGACGCUGAAGACCCCGCCUCCCUGCCAGCACCCCACCUGCCCCCCACCCCGCCCUGCCCCUGGCUCCUUGCUCCGGCCCAGCCGCCCUGGUCUCCUCAUGCCCCUCUAAGUCUUCAGCCCCCACCUUGCACAAACUGCUCUCUGCAGGGACCCUCUUCCCAGGAAUCUGCGUGGGUCCUCCCCACUCUCAGCCCUCUGUUCCCAAGUCCCCAUCUCAGAGGGGGGACAUGCAGCCCUCCCGUGCCCUGUGCCCGUGCCCCACUCUUCCUGGUUUGAUUUUUCCUCUGUGCCUUGAAGGAUGCUGAACUGUUGGGGUGCUGUUCCUCUCCCCAGCAGGAAGACUGACCCAAUGAGGCUCCGUCUCUGUUACAGCUUCCCCUGGGCGGGGCCUGCAGCAGUGCUGGGGACGUGGCCGUCCCUUGAUGAAUAGUAGCCAAACAGGCAAAUGAAUGGAUAUGGGACGUUGUCUACCUGUGACUGUGAGGGACACCCAGGGCCACAUGGGCUGGCAGAGCGGGAGGAGCCUGUUGGGGACCCCAGUGACUGGGUGGGCCCCUGCCCAGACCUGGCCCUCAGCCUGGGUCCUUCCCAGGGGAGUGGGGAAAGGCCCGCUGUGAUGCCCUCACAGGCUGCACCUCCUGUCCCUGAGGCUGCAGUCGUCUCUCGGGGACAGUGGCUGGGAUAUGGCCCUCGCCCUCUGGCUCUGGACUCAGUGCCAGGUCCUGUCUGGGUGUCCCAGGGGCAGCUCCCUGGGUACGUGGGGACAGGGUGGCCUGGCCGCAGAUCCUCUGCCUCUCGGGGCAGCAGCUCUGGGCUCUUCCUCUGUCCCGCCCAGAAGUCCUGAGGGCCUCAGCAGAGGGCCCAGUGCCCUGGUCCAUCCGCUCCCAGGAUGCAGUCCCACCAGCCUCUGCCCAGCCUGGGGAGGGCACUGCCACGUCCUUCCGCUUCCCCUGACACUUCUCUUCCAGAACUUUCCAGGUCCAGUUUCCAGGGUGGGACCGUCCGAGUCCCCACAGUGUGGCCAAGGCCUGCCGCCCCGGUUCAGCCUCCCGUCCCUCCCUCCAGCUGCCCCUCUCUCCAUCAGAGCCAGCCUGCGCCCCUCCCCCUGGACCUAGUCCCUGCCCAGCACAUAUGCACCGUCACUGCCAUGCCCCCCCCAUGCCUACUUGACUGGAGCUGGAGGGAGAGACAGGAGCUCUUCAGACCCCUGCGGCGAGAGCUGUCCAGGACCGGAGCAGAGCAGGUGAACAGGCCGCAGAGGCCAGCCCAGGCCUGCAGACGCCCCGCUCCUCUCCGGCCUUGGCUCCCCCAGCUCUUUGCAGAACAUUCAGGAAUGGCCUCAGGGGGACCUGUUUUCCUGGAGCAGGUGGACAUUGGGGGAUGGCCGGGGGUCCAGGCUGCAGGACCCAGCCUCCCACCCACUCACCCUCCCGUGCUCUGCUGGGUCUGUGCUGGUGGCGGGCACAGAGCCUCUGGGCCACAAGGGCAUGAGGGGACUCCAGCCUCCGGUCUACCAGGGAGCAGUGGCCCCGUCCCAGUGCCAUGUGGGGACGGGGCAUGGUGUUAACUGAACACCUACUAAGUGCUGGGCACGCUGUUCAAGCCUCUGACCAGUGCUGGGCUCCCGUACCUGCUCAGGGGACACUGCCAUGGUCCUUCUGUCCUACAGGUUCUCUGGGACUCCAGGGGACUCUGCCUCAUUUGGAGGGGACUGGAAAGUCUGUUGUGACAGGGAGGCCCACCCUGACAGGCUGGGCCCUGGGGACAAAUGGCAUCCAUUUACUUUACAAGGAGCAUUUAUCUGCGUUUCCACCUCAAAGCUCCAGGGAGAGGGGUGAGGAGGCUGCUCCCCAAUAACCUGAUUUCAUGGAGGAGCUAAUUGGGCGGAAUCAGGGGUGGGCCCCAGAGAGGCCACUGCAGACAGGGGCAGGAGAGGGGGACGGGGCCUGGGGCAGGCGGAAGGGUCUGGGUCAGAGCUCUGCCAGGGCCACCCACGGCCUCCAGCAGCAGGCCCUGCAGGACCCAAGUCCUGGGGGUCUGACACCCACAGUCCCCGGGUGGCACCCUCAGGUCUGGGGGUGGCAGAGGCAGGACACGCAGCCCUGGGCCCCUGCACCCCACAGACCUGCCCUGGUCCCCAGCCUUGUCACCACAGGGCUCCAGGUGACCUCAGCACCACGAGGAGUCAGAGGGUCCUGGUUCACUGUCCAGCUCUGCCGCCGGCUGGCUGCGUGGCCUCGGGUAUGUCCAGGGCUGCUCUGAGCCUCAGCCUCCUCAGCUGGACAAUGGGAAUCACCGACAGUGCUUGGCCCCAGGGUCACAGCGAGGCCUGGGGACGUGACUGUGUUCCAGUGCUUAGUGCCCAGCAAGCGCCCGCCGCCGGUGAAACACUCAGUGAAUCUGUCAGUGGUAGCUGACCCCGACAGACCCCUCCGUGGAGCACAGCCGUCCUGUGGCCACUCACUCUGGUCUUCUCCCCUGCCUCUGUCCCCAUCAACUGUCUUGAUGACAAGGGGCAGCCCCCCAGGGGUGCGGGUUGUGUCCUCUGUGUGUCGGAUGGAUUGUGGGGGUGGGAUUCGUGUGUGUGUCCUCAUGUGCACGUGUGUGACUUUCACAAGUCUCCCUGGCCCAGCCCACUCCCUGUUAGAGUCCCCUGUCCCCGCCCUGUGAGCCCUGUCGGCCAGACUCAGGAGCCGCCCAGGACAGAGUGUCCAGGCAGCCGCGGUGCCCGGUGUCCCCAUUGCUGCUCAUGGGACAGGGGACUCUGGUCUGUCUGCACCCAGGAGAUGGCGGCCCUGUGAGGAGCAGCAUGUGGCCGGAAGGCCCUGCACAGGCCAGCGGCUGGCUCUGGUCCCCCGUGCUCCUGCCUGGCCCCACGGUGUGCCCCAGAUAUGGAGCCCCCGUCGUGACGUAGACUGGGGCUUUGUCCCUGGCCCCUCGCUUCACCUCUUGUCCCUGCUCCCUCCUUGAGGGCCACCACCUGCUCCUCCUGCCAGGCUCCUGGCACAGAGGCCACCCGAGGCCCGCGCUGGGGGGGAGGGAGGCCCGUCCCACCGGUGGGGUCUCCCUGUCCAGCUGCCCACACUGCUAGGUGGCACUUCCAGUGUGGCUCCAGGGAGGCAGGACUGUCCCCGUCCCCUCAGGGCUCCGUCUUUGUCCUGGAGGACUUGUCCCUGGUCUCGUCUCUCUGUGACCCUCAGCUCCCGCCCUCGUGGGCCCUCCUCCAGCCACACAGUGGCCCCAGCUUCCUGUCCCCCCGUCCCUGUGCCGACCUGGGGAGGUUGCAUCCUGGGGUCCUGGUCCCUGGCCCUGGCCGUGGGCAGCACAUCCUAGUCCUGCCACGGUUAGCACCUGCUCCAUCACCCUGUCCUCACCUCUGUCCUCUCUUGUCCUGGUGACCACGGCUGCCCCUCCAGGGCCUGCUGCUGGACACCCCAGGGGAGCCUUCUGCAGUCACCUGAUUGUGCCUCUGUGUCACCUGCAGUUUGAAUGACGUCCCACUGCUCCCCACUGAGGCCUCCACAGCCCCUGUGAUCUGCUGCCCUCGUCACCCACCUGUCCCCUGCUCCCCUGGCACCGGCACAUCCCCCAGGGGCCUUCCCACUCUCUCCCUCCCCAGGCCUGUGUCUGGCUCCUUGUCACCUUCCAGGUCCUGGCUAAGUGUCACCUCCUUGGCCGGGGAAGUGUGUGUGUGUGUGAGAGAGAGAGAGAGAGACAGAGAGAGACACGCACGUGGAGGGGACGCAGCCUGGGGGCGGGGCGGGUCCUCUGGUGGGUGAUGGAGGGAGGAGAAGCCCCGUGGCACCUGACUCUCCUCAGCCUGACCCCCUGCCCAUCUCCUCGUCCUCCCCUGCCCCUGAGGGAGCCCAGAUGGACCCUCGGCCUUCACCUACUCUUACUUGACUCUUAGUCUCACCUUUUUGGGGGUCACCCAGCUGGGAAGUACGUUACUGGCCCCCACCAGCUUUGCCGCAGUUGGCACCUCUGCGUGUGCGUCACGAGGGUCACUGUUGCCUCACUUGCUCUUCAGGGGCCUGAAGGCCACUUCUGAAAACACUGCCUUGUGCCUGCAGUGUCCCCUGGGCACUGGAACGGGGAAGGCUUGGCCUCCCUGUUGGGCCUCUCCUUGCAGCCUCGGCCUUGCUCAGCCUGUGUGUGUGGACGUGCUGAGGGCUUGAGGAAUGUGCUGUGCAGAACCGUGAGGUCGGGGUUCCUCCACUGCACGGGCCGAGUCUCCUUCCCUCUCAGGUCGAAAGACACCUGGCCGCGGCCGUGGCAGAAACACCAGGCCAUGAAAACGGCAAAAAGAGGUGGCACCGAGUGCCCGAGGGUCUCUCCCUGUCCCUCUCCUCCCCUUGUCCUGCCCUCCCUCGUACCUGUCCUGUAACCUCUCCACUCCCAGAGUUCACAAGUCGAUGGGCCACGCGAACACCUGCUCCAUUGAUUGGCCACUCAAGAAAACUCUUCCGCUGUCACUCCGUCUCCCAAGUCAUUGGCUUUGACAAGGGAUGGCGGAAUGGGACCUUUCUGGGUGAUACCACCUCUGAGAUCUGAAGCGUCGUCUGGUGGGUGCCCUGGGCACAUGCCCUGUCUCUCCAGGUAGGGUGGCAGUGUCAACGAGGGUGGUCCACGGGGUAAUCAUCCGACCCCAGGGACCAUCCCAAUACAGAGAACAGGAGACGGUGGGUUGGGGUGUGCCUGGGUCUCAGCAUCCUGAAGAGACCCGUGGAUCGCAGAAUCCUGGGUGCCAGGGGAGCGUUGCCCAGGACCGUGCCAAGGGCCCACCAGCCACCCCCUGGCCCUGCAGGGUUGUAGAUGACACACAGCUCUGAUGUGUGCAAAUGAUAGCUUCGACUCGCCAAAUGGGAGAGACCUGGGCACAGGAAGGUGGUCCUGCCAUCACAGGUAGGUGGUUUGGUAACAGCAGAUCCAGGGAGAAGUGGAAGGUGUGAGACGGUCAGCGAGCACCUUCCUGACCACGCUUGAACUCACCCAGGCUCAGGCUGCGUCCUAGCCUGGGCCCUCUGAGCUCCCUGGGCGCAGGGCCUGGCCUGGCCUGUCUCCGUUGCUUCCCAGAGCAGAGAAGGAGUCCCAUGUGGAUUCCUGGCGCGACUCACGAGACCCUGAAGCCCUAGUCCUGUGGCUUCUUCUCCUUUGUAACUGUAGAAGCAAAAGGUCCCACAAAGCAGAGUUUUCUUUUGCUGUCAAUCACUUGCUCCGAGUCUCCAAGCCAACAGAGGACAGUGCCAGCCUUCCCCCACACCCUGGGCAUCCUGACUCCCCAUGGCCUUCCAGAGCCCUUGUCCCAGGUCAGGGGUGUGGGGAUUGGCUGGCCCCACCCUGGACAGCACAGGAGGCUGCCCAAGGCAGAAGCCCCCCAUCCUCCUUCUUCUGAUCAUGGCACCAAGGACAUCCAUUCGGCAGCAGGGCUUGGUCAGCUCCUUGUUCUUCUCCUAAGUAGUGAAUUCACAGGGUGCACAUGCACCUGGAUGAUCAUUCCCUGAUAGCUUACAGGAUCGAGACUCCUUUAUUUUCCCCCAAUAAGUCUAAUGUAUAUGUAUUGGCAGGUCAAACAGUGCCUCUCCUGGCAUCCCGAGGCCGUGAAUCGUUCACAGUGAUUCAGGAAGCCUGGGACGAGGAACAUUUUGCAUAAUGCAAAUCAGAGUGGAAGCGUAUUUGGUUGCUGCAGAUGUAAUUAGAGCGAUGAACACCAGGAAAGACCGUUUCUCCUGAGACUCAGAAAGGUCUGCUUGGUAUGCAAAAGAGCGUGGUUAUUUGCGACACAGGAGUGCAGAAUGUGGUUAGCACAGCACCCAGUUUGAUUUGCAGCUUUAAAGCGUUCGAAGAUGAAUAAAACAUGGAAUUAAUUGCUGAAGAACCGUCACCAGCUUGCAUGAGAUCUAAGCACCUUGGAAAACACGAGAAUCAAACACGCAGAAUACAAGAGUGGCCUGGGGAACGCCUGCUCCAGGCCCCAGAAACACCAGUUGGUUGUGAGGACUUGGUCCUACCUGGAAUUUUCUUCCAUCACGAUUCUGACUCCCCUAAUACCGUCUCCAGCUCCGGUCCCCAGGAGGCCCUGUCCGCCAUCCUGCUGCAGGGAGUGCGCCUUCCUCAAGCCUCAGGAUUGGCUCCUCAUUGAGUCCACAUUUACUAAGCGCCUACUGCUGCAGGAGCUAACCACCCCACCACCCGACCCUGCCCUGCCUUCCUGCAGGAGUGAAGCCAUCAGCAAAAGAGGGCACUGGGCAUGAAGAUGCUGGACACGGAGGAGAAACACAGCAACAGGCGGAGAGGAGGGCAGGGAAGGGGGGUGGGGGCUUGCGGUUGUAGACAAGGUGGUCAGGGUGGCCUGAGCGGUGAUUGACGUGGGGACCUGGCGGAGGCACAGGUGACCUGACACGAGGAGCAGCUGCUGCAGCUCGAGUGUCCCCAGGUGUCCCAGGAACAAGGCCAAGGUGGCUGGAGCUGGUGAUGGGGGAGCAAGGGGAGGAGCCCAUGCAGGGCCAAGGUCAUGGACGGCCCCUGUCUGUGCCCACGCACCUCCUCCUCAGUCAUUCUAACAAAGCUCUGCCCACGUGCUGGGGGCCAGGCCUGGCCGUGGAGGCCCUGGGUCCAGCAGGGGACUCUGCAGGCAGGGCCCCUGCUCCAGCCUGCGCUCUGCUGGGAAAGUGGAGAAGAAAGACAUCAACAAGGACGGGAUUCCCCAGAGUGACGGGGUGGGGAGAGGCCGUGUUGGAGGAGUGGCCGGGACAUCCGGUCACUGCUGGACAUCAGGACACUUGGCUGGAGCGGAUCUCCCAGGUGACUCUGUCCCCCUCCAGGCCCAGCUGGCAGACAGGAGACCGAGGCUCCUGAGGGCCGCAGCCCGGCUCCUGCUCUUUGCUCUUCCCCUACAGAGUCGGGACCUCGGCAGGAGGAUCGGCUUCCCCCUCCUCCUCAGGGGCCAGGAGCAGCUUCCAGGUGUGGGAGAAGUUACUAGCCUUGGAAACGAUCAAACUUCAGGGAUCCUGGUAGCGUCUUUUGCCAGCUGUAGCAUCGGGGCAGCCCCAGAUGGCCCCAGGGAGUGUCCCGGACUCAAACUGCUUCCAGGCACAGGUUUGGAUUUGGGCCUGGUGGGGGGCGGGGAAGAGCUGGCUGCCGCCGCUUGGAAAGCCCUUGCUGCACCAUGACCUGCUCGCUCACAUGGCAGCCGCCGCACUGAUUCAGGAACCCUCCGGUAACAAAAAGUAUUCAGUAAUAGCCUUUUGCUGCAACUUUUUUCAUGAUAAUCCUUCCUCCUCUGAACUUUCUUCUUUCUGACUAGAGUUCC